rnacentral:rRNA from 1 species
UGACUGAGUGGCGGACGGGUGAGUAACGCGUGGGUAACCUGCCUUAUACAGGGGGAUAACAGUUGGAAACGGCUGCUAAUACCGCAUAAGCGCACAGGGUCGCAUGACCUGGUGUGAAAAACUCCGGUGGUAUGAGAUGGACCCGCGUUGGAUUAGCUGGUUGGUGAGGUAACGGCCCACCAAGGCGACGAUCCAUAGCCGACCUGAGAGGGUGACCGGCCACAUUGGGACUGAGACACGGCCCAAACUCCUACGGGAGGCAGCAGUGGGGAAUAUUGCACAAUGGGCGAAAGCCUGAUGCAGCGACGCCGCGUGAGCGAAGAAGUAUUUCGGUAUGUAAAGCUCUAUCAGCAGGGAAGAUAAUGACGGUACCUGACUAAGAAGCACCGGCUAAAUACGUGCCAGCAGCCGCGGUAAUACGUAUGGUGCAAGCGUUAUCCGGAUUUACUGGGUGUAAAGGGAGCGCAGGCGGUACGGCAAGUCUGAUGUGAAAGCCCGGGGCUCAACCCCGGUACUGCAUUGGAAACUGUCGAACUAGAGUGUCGGAGGGGUAAGUGGAAUUCCUAGUGUAGCGGUGAAAUGCGUAGAUAUUAGGAGGAACACCAGUGGCGAAGGCGGCUUACUGGACGAUAACUGACGCUGAGGCUCGAAAGCGUGGGGAGCAAACAGGAUUAGAUACCCUGGUAGUCCACGCUGUAAACGAUGAAUGCUAGGUGUCGGGGAGCAAAGCUCUUCGGUGCCGUCGCAAACGCAGUAAGUAUUCCGCCUGGGGAGUACGUUCGCAAGAAUGAAACUCAAAGGAAUUGACGGGGAACCCGCACAAGCGGUGGAGCAUGUGGUUUAAUUC